AGUGAGCAACAUCCCUACCUAGUGGAUGCUCUUUACAGAGGAACUGGUGGCAACUGUGCUUGCCCUUUACUACGUCAGUAUCCAAUCACACAAGUCUUUCCUUGUUUGCAGUGACUCCAUGAGACACCCACGGGCUAUAGUCCACUAUUAUUCCCAGCAACUGCAAGGCCUUCAUGGUAAUGGAAAGAGCAUAGGAUCUUAAGGAAUGAACACAUGCAUCAGUCUGCUGAAGCUACCAGGAAGGGUGCUCUGGAAAUAAAUGUAUCAAGAUCCAAAAUGUGGAUAACAUAAUGUUGCCAACUCUUAGUGUGAUGGAACCGUGAAUGGAGUGUCAAGGCCUGGAGGUAACUCAUUUUGCAGACAGGAUGACGGCACUGGAACACCAUUGGACCAAGUGCAUUAAACUACAAGGAGACUACAUUGAAAAAUAAAAAAAUGUUUCAGUGAUCUCACAAUGCAAAGUGCCUGGGGUAACAUAAACUUGCUGGAGUAGACAAACAAUAGAAACACAAGGAAAAUCUGCACUUCAUACAGUUAGCCAUCUUCUGCUGAAGGCUUGUGUGACUCCAACGUACACCAUUGAAGAGGAGAUAGAAGUACUAUU